GGACCAGGGGAAUCCGACUGUCUAAUUAAAACAAAGCAUUGUGAUGGCUCUAACGGGUGUUGAAACAAUGUGAUUCUGUCCAGUGUUCUGAAUGUCAAUAUGAAGAAAUUCAAGAAAGCGCGGGU
rnacentral:ncRNA from 1 species